rnacentral:rRNA from 1 species
UACGUAGGUGGCAAGCGUUGUCCGGAUUUACUGGGCGUAAAGAGCGCGCAGGCGGUCGUUCAAGUCGCGUGUGAAAGCCCCCGGCUCAACUGGGGAGGGUCACGCGAUACUGAUCGACUCGAAGGCAGGAGAGGGUAGUGGAAUUCCCGGUGUAGUGGUGAAAUGCGCAGAUAUCGGGAGGAACACCAAUGGCGAAGGCAGCUCGCUGGGACGGUACUGACGCUGAGACGCGAAAGCGUGGGGAGCAAACAGG